CAGUAGCCACGGUAAUACGGAGGGGGCUAGCGUUGUUCGGAAUUACUGGGCGUAAAGCGCACGUAGGCGGCUUUGUAAGUUAGAGGUGAAAGCCUGGAGCUCAACUCCAGAAUUGCCUUUAAGACUGCCGAGCUAGCAGGUGAGAGAUGUAAGUGGAAUUCCGAGUGUAGAGGUGAAAUUCGUAGAUAUUCGGAAGAACACCAGUGGCGAAGGCGGCUUACUGGCUCAUACUGGACGCUGAGGUGCGAAAGCGUGGGGAGCAAACAGGAUUAGAUACCCCCGUAGUCCCUGUCUCUUAUAC
rnacentral:rRNA from 1 species